rnacentral:rRNA from 1 species
CCUACGGGUGGCAGCAGUGGGGGAUAUUGCACAAUGGGGGAAACCCUGAUGCAGCGACGCCGCGUGUGGGAAGACGGUCCUCUGGAUUGUAAACCACUGUCCCCAGGGACGAAGAUGACGGUACCUGGGGAGGAAGCUCCGGCAAACUACGUGCCAGCAGCCGCGGUAAUACGUAGGGAGCGAGCGUUGUCCGGAAUUACUGGGUGUAAGGGGAGCGUAGGCGGGACUGCAAGUUGGGUGUAAAAUCUACCGGCUCAACCGGUAGCCGCACUCAAAACUGCAGUUCUUGAGUGAAGUAGAGGCAGGCGGAAUGCCUAGUGUAGCGGUGAAAUGCGUAGAUAUUAGGAGGAACACCAGUGGCGAAGGCGGCCUGCUGGGCUUUUACUGACGCUGAGGCUCGAAAGUGUGGGGAGCAAACAGGAUUAGAUACCCCGGUAGUC